UGCCAAGAGAUCGGGAUAACACCUGGAACAGAUGCUAAUACCGGAUAACAACAGAUGAUGCCUAUCAACUGUUUAAAAGAUGGUUCUGCUAUCACUCUUUGGAUGGACCUGCGGUGCAUCAGCUAGUUGGUAGGGUAACGGCCUACCAAGGCGAUGAUGCAUAGCCGAGUUGAGAGACUGAUCGGCCACAUUGGGACUGAGACACGGCCCAAACUCCUACGGGAGGCAGCAGGC
rnacentral:rRNA from 1 species